CACAGCGACUCGCUGCCCCGGCGGCGCGACCAGGAGGGGUCCGUGGGGCCCUCCGACUUCGGGCCGCGCAGUAUCGACCCCACACUCACACGCCUCUUCGAGUGCUUGAGCCUGGCCUACAGUGGCAAGCUGGUGUCUCCCAAGUGGAAGAAUUUCAAAGGCCUCAAGCUGCUCUGCAGAGACAAGAUCCGCCUGAACAACGCCAUCUGGAGGGCCUGGUAUAUCCAGUGUGAG
rnacentral:lncRNA from 1 species